rnacentral:rRNA from 1 species
UUGAACGCUGGCGGCAUGCUUUACACAUGCCAGUCGAACGGAAACAGGCCGCAAGGUGCUGACGAGUGGCGAACGGGUGAGUAAUGCAUCGGAACGUGCCCAGUCGUGGGGGAUAACUACUCGAAAGAGUAGCUAAUACCGCAUACGAUCUAUGGAUGAAAGCGGGGGACCGUAAGGCCUCGCGCGAUUGGAGCGGCCGAUGUCAGAUUAGGUAGUUGGUGGGGUAAAGGCUCACCAAGCCAACGAUCUGUAGCUGGUCUGAGAGGACAACCAGCCACACUGGGACUGAGACACGGCCCAGACUCCUACGGGAGGCAGCAGUGGGGAAUUUUGGACAAUGGGCGCAAGCCUGAUCCAGCAAUGCCGCGUGCAGGAAGAAGGCCUUCGGGUUGUAAACUGCUUUUGUACGGAACGAAACGGCUCUGGUUAAUACCCGGGGCUAAUGACGGUACCGUAAGAAUAAGCACCGGCUAACUACGUG